rnacentral:misc_RNA from 1 species
AAUUCUCAACUAUACAAGUUUUUUUAUAACUUGUAUGGCUUGGAUCAUGGGAUCUGCGGGCUCGUACGAGUCGGCUAUCCUUAAAAGUAUUAGCAGAGCUUUUGCCGCUAAUCAUUGGUGUGAUAAUUAUCUACGCCAUUGACAAGUGACAUACUGAGGCUUAGCUUCCAAUCGUCUUCACAGACAACUUUUGACA